GAUGAACGCUGGCGGCGUGCCUAAUACAUGCAAGUAGAACGCUGAAGGAGGAGCUUGCUCUUCUGGAUGAGUUGCGAACGGGUGAGUAACGCGUAGGUAACCUGCCUGGUAGCGGGGGAUAACUAUUGGAAACGAUAGCUAAUACCGCAUGACAACAGUUAUUGCAUGAUAACUGUUUAAAAGGGGCAACUGCUCCACUACCAGAUGGACCUGCGUUGUAUUAGCUAGUUGGUGAGGUAACGGCUCACCAAGGCGACGAUACAUAGCCGACCUGAGAGGGUGAUCGGCCACACUGGGACUGAGGCACGGCCCAGACUCCUACGGGAGGCAGCAGUAGGGGAUCUUCGGCAAUGGACGGAAGGCUGACCGAGCAACGCCGCGUGAGUGGAGAAGGGUUUCGGAUCGUAAAGCUCUGUUGUAAGAGAAGAACGAGUGUGAGAGUGGAAAGUUCACACUGUGACGGUAUCUGACCAGAAAGGGACGGCUAACUACGUG
rnacentral:rRNA from 1 species